rnacentral:rRNA from 1 species
AGCGUAGACGGAUAAGCAAGUCUGGAGUGAAAGCCCGGGGCUCAACCCCGGGACUGCUUUGGAAACUGUUAAUCUAGAGUGCUGGAGAGGUAAGUGGAAUUCCUAGUGUAGCGGUGAAAUGCGUAGAUAUUAGGAGGAACACCAGUGGCGAAGGCGGCUUACUGGACAGUGACUGACGUUGAGGCUCGAAAGCGUGGGGAGCAAACA